CUUUUAACUGGAUAUGUUGUUG
rnacentral:piRNA from 1 species